rnacentral:rRNA from 1 species
AGAGUUUGAUUCUGGCUCAGGAUGAACGCUGGCGGCGUGCCUAAUACAUGCAAGUCGAACGGGGUUGUUGUAGCAAUACGGCAACCUAGUGGCGAACGGGUGAGUAACGCGUUGGUGACCUGCCCCGAAGAGGGGGAUAACAGUCCGAAAGGAUUGCUAAUACCCCAUGUGGUUACCGGUUUUAGAAUCCGGCAACUAAAGUCGUAAGACACUUUGGGAGGGACCUGCGUCCCAUCAGCUAGUUGGUAAGGUAACGGCUUACCAAGGCGACGACGGGUAGGGGACCUGAGAGGGUGGACCCCCACAAUGGCACUGAAACACGGGCCAUACACCUACGGGUGGCAGCAGUAGGGAAUAUUGCUUAAUGUGCGAAAGCGCGAAGCAAGCAACGCCGCGUGUGCGAUGAAGGCCUUCGGGUCGUAAAGCACUUUUUAGAGGGAUGAGAAAGGACAGUACCUCUAGAAUAAGCCUCGGCUAACUACGUGCCAGCCGCAGC